CGAAGGGUGCAAGCGUUACUCGGAAUUACUGGGCGUAAAGCGUGCGUAGGUGGUUCGUUAAGUCUGAUGUGAAAGCCCUGGGCUCAACCUGGGAAUGGCAUUGGAUACUGGCGACCUAGAGUGCGGUAGUGGGGUGUGGAAUUCCCGGUGUAGCAGUGAAAUGCGUAGAUAUCGGGAGGAACAUCUGUGGCGAAGGCGACACCCUGGACCAGCACUGACACUGAGGCACGAAAGCGUGGGGAGCAAACAGGAUUAGAUACCCUGGUAGUCCACGCCCUAAACGAUGCGAACUGGAAGUUGGGGACAACUUGGUCCUCAGUUUCGAAGCUAACGCGUUAAGUUCGCCGCCUGGGAAGUACGGUCGCAAGACUG
rnacentral:rRNA from 1 species